rnacentral:rRNA from 1 species
GAAGUAGGUCCCAAGGGUACGGCUGUUCGCCGUUUAAAGUGGUACGCGAGCUGGGUUUAGAACGUCGUGAGACAGUUCGGUCCCUAUCUGCCGUGGGCGCUGGAGAAUUGAGGGGGGUUGCUCCUAGUACGAGAGGACCGGAGUGAACGCACCACUGGUGUUCGGGUUGUCAUGCCAAUGGCAUUGCCCGGUAGCUAAGUGCGGAAAAGAUAAGUGCUGAAAGCAUCUAAGCACGAAACUUGCCCCGAGAUGAGUUCUCCCUGACUCCUUGAGAGUCCUGAAGGGACGUUGAAGACGACGACGUUGAUAGGCCGGAUGUGUAAGCGCAGCGAUGCGUUGAGCUAACCGGUACUAAUGACCCGU